rnacentral:lncRNA from 1 species
UGAAAAUUAAGGAAACUUGCCAUCAAGGAAUAAGUACCAAAUGAUUUUAUUAAUUUGUAAAUGGCUCCUCAUUAGGAGGAUUAAAUACAACCUUCUUGUUAAAGUAAUCUAUGUUGGUGUGAUAUGCCGUUAGCCAAUCCAUCCCUAAAAUUACAUCAAAAUCCCUCGUGUCUAACCCUAUUAGGUCUACACUCAGUUUUCUAUUUGCUAUCUCCACGGCACAAGCCCUGUAGACAACUUCCCCUAAUAGUGUUUCACCCCCAACAGUAGACACAAAUAACAUUGAAUCAAGUUUAUCAGGUGAUACAUUAAGUUUGGAUGCAAAAACAUGUGAAACGAAUGAAUGCAAUACAUCACUGUCAAAUAAAAC